rnacentral:rRNA from 1 species
UACGUAGGGUGCGAGCGUUGUCCGGAAUUAUUGGGCGUAAAGAGCUCGUAGGCGGUGUGUCGCGUCGGCCGUGAAAACCUGCAGCUUAACUGUGGGCUUGCGGUCGAUACGGGCAUCACUGGAGUUCGGCAGGGGAGACUGGAAUUCCUGGUGUAGCGGUGAAAUGCGCAGAUAUCAGGAGGAACACCGGUGGCGAAGGCGGCAUCCUGGACCAAUACUGACACUGAGGAGCGAAAGCCAGGGGAGCAAACGGG